rnacentral:rRNA from 1 species
GAAGCACCGGCUAACUCCGUGCCAGCAGCCGCGGUAAUACGGAGGGUGCAAGCGUUAAUCGGAAUUACUGGGCGUAAAGCGCACGCAGGCGGUCUGUCAAGUCGGAUGUGAAAUCCCCGGGCUCAACCUGGGAACUGCAUUCGAAACUGGCAGGCUAGAGUCUUGUAGAGGGGGGUAGAAUUCCAGGUGUAGCGGUGAAAUGCGUAGAGAUCUGGAGGAAUACCGGUGGCGAAGGCGGCCCCCUGGACAAAG